UCGUGAACAAAGCCUCGGUUCUAUUUUCAUGCGCCGUGUUGAUUCGAGAACGUGCGAUGCGCGUAGUCGGACAACGCCAGCCGACAUGAGAUACGCUUUUGGGAGCCGGGGUCUUAACACUUAUUUCGGGGCUUAAAGAUGGAGGUUGUCCUGAAUUUAGGGGGGCGUGUCGGUGUGGGAGGGGCCAGCCCCUGCCUUGCUCAUGGUCGCCGGACUACCUCACUGAGAGGUUGACCUCGCCGGACCUAACUGAGUGACUACAUUGGAUCUCUGACAGGCUUCCCGGAAAGACAGCUAGGCAGGACGCAAAGCGACAGCUCAAGAUUCCUUUUCGAUCCAUGGACCAAAUGGUGCUGGGGAGGGCCCGCGAGGCCUUCGCGACAGACAGCAGGUCUAGGAGCGACCCUGAUGCGUGCGGCGAGCACGGGCAGAAGCUCACGCUCUUCUGCUUGGAAGACCUGGAGCCCAUCUGCGGGGCUUGCGCUAAAGGUGGGGCCCACGGGGGGCACAGGCUUUACCCCAUUGGAGAGGGGGCACAUGACUGUAAGGAAGAGCUGAAGGGAGCCCUGCUGCCUUUGAAGGAGAAGUUACAGCAGUACAAGGAGGCCAAAAUUGUAUGCGAGGACAUGCAGGAGCACGUUAAGAUCCAGUUGGAUAACACGGAAAGGCAGAUCAAGAUGGAAUUUGAGGCGCUCCACCUAUUCCUGAGGGAGCAGGAGGAGGCCAGGCUGUCGGCCCUGAAGAACGAGGAGGCUACAAAGAGCCUGAUCAUCCAGCAGAGGAUCGACGAUUUGGACCAAGAGUUGGUCUCGCUCUCCAGAGUGAUCAGCUUAGUGGAGAGGGAGAUGGAAAUGCAAGAUAUUCACUUCCUUAAGAAUUACAAGGACAUAAUAAGGAGAACCUGGAUAAGCUGCUGCGAGCCAGAAGAAAUGUUUGAUGCUCUGAUUGACGUGGCAAAGCAUAUCGGCACACUGAAGUACCAAGUGUGGGAGAAAAUGAGGAAAAUAGUUAAAUAUAGUCCCGUCAUCGUGGAUCCCAACACAGCUGCCAACUGCUUCAUCCUGUCCGAGGACCUGACAGUGGUCCAGAAUUCAACACAGAACUUCAAAGUUCCCAACAACGCGGAACGUUUCGACAUCAGCGCCGAGAUGCUAGGCGCCGAGGGCUACACGGAGGGUCGCCAUAACUGGACCGUGGAGGUAAAGGACAACACCUACUGGGUGGUUGGCGUGGCCAGCGAGUCCAUCAACCGCAAGGGCAAGCACGUGCUGACGCCAGCCGAGGGCUUCUGGACAAUACGCUUUCGCAACGACGAGUACAAGGCGUGCACGGCGCCGUGGGAGCCGCUCAACAUGAAGUCUAAGCCGGACAUGAUCAAGGUACUGCUGGACAUGGACCGAGGCAAGGUGGCCUUUUACAGCCCUCCGGAAAGGGAGCCGCUCUACACCUUCACCGACGUCUUCACGGCCAAAGCCUUUCCUUACUUUUGCACCGCUUGCAAAGAACACCCGCUGACGAUCCUGCCCGCUAGAUUGACUCUUUCGACCGACUGAUCACUCCUCACGCGCGAGCAUCCGCACGAAGCUAAGACAACAGCCGAAUCAGACGAAGAAUCCAGCACCUACGACUCACACACAGUUUGAGAGCCACGAUUUUAAAAAAACAUGAAACUAACUCAAGGCACAUUUUAUAGGAUAGGAUUUUUAAUUGGAGUUCGCACAAGAGCUGAUGAUUUCUAUAUUAAAUCUUUGUCAGCUGAUGAUGAUGAUGUCACUAAAGGUUUUAGACAUGUUACAUGUAAUGAGGGCACCAAUAGGUGACAUAUUAUAAAAAAAAAACGUUUUCAUAAAAUUCCA